rnacentral:rRNA from 1 species
GCGCACGCUGGCGGCCGGCUUAACCCCUGCAAGUCGAGCGGACCUUUCGGGGUCAGCGGCGGACGGGUGAGUAACGCGUGGGAACGUGCCUUCCGGUUCGGAAUAACCCUGGGAAACUAGGGCUAAUACCGGAUACGCCCUUAUGGGGAAAGGUUUACUGCCGGAAGAUCGGCCCGCGUCUGAUUAGCUAGUUGGUGGGGUAACGGCCUACCAAGGCGACGAUCAGUAGCUGGUCUGAGAGGAUGAUCAGCCACACUGGGACUGAGACACGGCCCAGACUCCUACGGGAGGCAGCAGUGGGGAAUAUUGGACAAUGGGCGCAAGCCUGAUCCAGCCAUGCCGCGUGAGUGAUGAAGGCCUUAGGGUUGUAAAGCUCUUUUAUCCGGGACGAUAAUGACGGUACCGGAGGAAUAAGCCCCGGCUAACUUCGUG